rnacentral:lncRNA from 1 species
UCCUUUUUCGAUAUUCAAAUUUUGAAAAAUAUUACAAGUCCAAACUGAAUUUUUUUUUUCCUUCAAAAUUUUUUUUCCUCAAAAUUUUUUUUUCCUCAAAAUUUUUUUUCCUCAAAUUUUUUUUUUCCUCAAAUUUUUUUUUUCCUCAAAUUUUUUUUCCUCAAAUUUUUUUUCUCAAUUUUUUUUUCCUCAAAAUUUUUUUUCCUCAAAUUUUUUUUUUCAAUUUUUUUUUCCUCAAAAUAUUUUUCCUCAAAAAGUUUUUCUUCAAAUUUUUUUGUCAUUUCCUUAUUCGUUUUCUUUUUCCUUUUUCGAUUAUCAUCCUUAUUUGAUUUCCAUUUCCUUAUUCGAUUUUCAUUUCCUUAUUCGAUUUUCAUUUCCUUAUUCGAUUUUCUUUUCCUUAUUCGGUUUCUUCUUCCUUUUUCAAUAUUCAUUUCCUUUUUCGGUUUCUAUUUCCUUAUUCGGUUUCUAUUUCCUUAUUGGAUUUUCAUUUCCUUAUUCGAUUUCCAUUUCCUUAUUCAAUUUUCAUUUCCUUAUUCGGUUUCUUUUUCCUUUUUCAAUAUUCAUUUCCUUAUUCGGUUUCUAUUUCCUUAUUCAGUUUCUAUUUCCUUAUUGGAUUUUCAUUUCCUUAUUCGAUUUCCAUUUCCUUAUUCGAUUUUCAUUUCCUUAUUCGGUUUCUUUUUCCUUUUUCAAUAUUCAUUUCCUUUUUCGGUUUCUAUUUCCUUAUUCGGUUUCUAUUUCCUAAUUGGAUUUUCGUUUCCUUAUUUCGAUUUCCAUUUCCUUAUUCGAUUUUCAUUUCCUAAUUCCGGUUUCUUUUUUUUUCCUUUUUCAAUAUUCAUUUCCUUUUUCGGUUUCUAGUUCCUUAUUCGGUUUCUAUUUCCUUAUUGGAUUUUCAUUUCCUUAUUCAAUUUCCAUUUCCUUAUUCGGUUUCUUUUUCCUUAUUCAGUUUCUUUUUCCUUAUUCGGUUUCUUUUUCUUUUUUCAAUAUUCAUUUCCUUUUUCGGUUUCUAUUUCCUUUUUCGAUUUUCAUUUCCUUAUUCGGUUUCCAUUUCCUUUUUCGAUAUUCAAAUUUUGAAAAAUAUUACAAGUCCAAACUGAAUUUUUUUUUUCCUUCAAAUUUUUUUUUCCUCAAAAUUUUUUUUCCUCAAAAUUUUUUUUUCCUCAAAUUUUUUUUUU